CACGUAGGGGGCGAGCGUUGUCCGGAUUUAUUGGGCGUAAAGAGCUCGUAGGUGGCUUAGUAAGUCGGGUGUGAAACCUCCAGGCUCAACCUGGAGACGCCACCCGAUACUGCUAUAGCUUGAGUCCGGUAGGGGAGCGUGGAAUUCCUGGUGUAGCGGUGAAAUGCGCAGAUAUCAGGAGGAACACCAGCGGCGAAGGCGGCGCUCUGGGCCGGUACUGACACUGAGGAGCGAAAGCAUGGGGAGCGAACAGG
rnacentral:rRNA from 1 species